GGCUGGUCUGAAGUUAGUGGGUUACCUGAAUUGAUUGUUCACAGUGAAUUGUAGGUCAAACUCCUUCUUCUACUGUUUUCCCCUUCUCGUUAAUACAUUUGACUAGUUUUUU
rnacentral:Y_RNA from 1 species